CGUUGCACUAUCGUUAACUGAAUACAUAGGUUAACGAGGCGAACCGGGGGAACUGAAACAUCUAAGUACCCCGAGGAAAAGAAAUCAACCGAGAUUCCCCCAGUAGCGGCGAGCGAACGGGGAGCAGCCCGGAGUCUGAAUCAGCUUGUGUGUUAGUGGAACGGUCUGGAAAGUCCGACGGUACAGGGUGAUAGUCCCGUACACGAAAGCACACUUGCUGUGAACUCGAAGAGUAGGGCGGGACACGUGGUAUCCUGUCUGAAUAUGGGGGGACCAUCCUCCAAGGCUAAAUACUCCUGACUGACCGAUAGUGAACCAGUACCGUGAGGGAAAGGCGAAAAGAACCCCGGCGAGGGGAGUGAAAAAGAACCUGAAACCGUGUACGUACAAGCAGUGGGAGCCUCUUUAUGGGGUGACUGCGUACCUUUUGUAUAAUGGGUCAGCGACUUAUAUUCUGUAGCAAGGUUAACCGUAUAGGGGAGCCGAAGGGAAACCGAGUCUUAACUGGGCGUUAAGUUGCAGGGUAUAGACCCGAAACCCGGUGAUCUAGCCAUGGGCAGGUUGAAGGUUGGGUAACACUAACUGGAGGACCGAACCGACUAAUGUUGAAAAAUUAGCGGAUGACCUGUGGCUGGGGGUGAAAGGCCAAUCAAACCGGGAGAUAGCUGGUUCUCCCCGAAAGCUAUUUAGGUAGCGCCUCGUGAACUCAUCUUCGGGGGUAGAGCACUGUUUCGGCUAGGGGGCCAUCCCGGCUUACCAACCCGAUGCAAACUACGAAUACCGAAGAAUGUUAUCACGGGAGACACACGGCGGGUGCUAACGUCCGUCGUGAAGAGGGAAACAACCCAGACCGCCAGCUAAGGUCCCAAAGUCAUGGUUAAGUGGGAAACGAUGUGGGAAGGCACAGACAGCCAGGAUGUUGGCUUAGAAGCAGCCAUCAUUUAAAGAAAGCGUAAUAGCUCACUGGUCGAGUCGGCCUGCGCGGAAGAUGUAACGGGGCUAAACCAUGCACCGAAGCUGCGGCAGCGACACUAUGUGUUGUUGGGUAGGGGAGCGUUCUGUAAGCCGUUGAAGGUGUGCUGUGAGGCAUGCUGGAGGUAUCAGAAGUGCGAAUGCUGACAUAAGUAACGAUAAAGCGGGUGAAAAGCCCGCUCGCCGGAAGACCAAGGGUUCCUGUCCAACGUUAAUCGGGGCAGGGUGAGUCGACCCCUAAGGCGAGGCCGAAAGGCGUAGUCGAUGGGAAACAGGUUAAUAUUCCUGUACUUGGUGUUACUGCGAAGGGGGGACGGAGAAGGCUAUGUCAGCCGGGCGACGGUUGUCCCGGUUUAAGCAUGUAGGCGGAGGUUCCAGGUAAAUCCGGUACCUUAUUAACGCUGAGGUGUGAUGACGAGGCACUACGGUGCUGAAGUGAUAAAUGCCCUGCUUCCAGGAAAAGCCUCUAAGCAUCAGGUAACACGAAAUCGUACCCCAAACCGACACAGGUGGUCAGGUAGAGAAUACCAAGGCGCUUGAGAGAACUCGGGUGAAGGAACUAGGCAAAAUGGUGCCGUAACUUCGGGAGAAGGCACGCUGAUGUGNNNNNNNNNNNNNNNNNNNNNNNNNNNNNNNNNNNNNNNNNNNNNNNNNNNNNNNNNNNNNNNNNNNNNNNNNNNNNNNNNNNNNNNNNNNNCGGACGGAGCUGAAAUCAGUCGAAGAUACCAGCUGGCUGCAACUGUUUAUUAAAAACACAGCACUGUGCAAACACGAAAGUGGACGUAUACGGUGUGACGCCUGCCCGGUGCCGGAAGGUUAAUUGAUGGGGUUAGCGGCAACGCGAAGCUCUUGAUCGAAGCCCCGGUAAACGGCGGCCGUAACUAUAACGGUCCUAAGGUAGCGAAAUUCCUUGUCGGGUAAGUUCCGACCUGCACGAAUGGCGUAAUGAUGGCCAGGCUGUCUCCACCCGAGACUCAGUGAAAUUGAACUCGCUGUGAAGAUGCAGUGUACCCGCGGCAAGACGGAAAGACCCCGUGAACCUUUACUAUAGCUUGACACUGAACACUGGUCCUUGAUGUGUAGGAUAGGUGGGAGGCUUUGAAGCGUGGACGCCAGUCUGCGUGGAGCCAACCUUGAAAUACCACCCUUUAAUGGCUGGUGUUCUAACGUAGACCCGUAAUCCGGGUUGCGGACAGUGUCUGGUGGGUAGUUUGACUGGGGCGGUCUCCUCCCAAAGAGUAACGGAGGAGCACGAAGGUUGGCUAAUCCUGGUCGGACAUCAGGAGGUUAGUGCAAUGGCAUAAGCCAGCUUGACUGCGAGCGUGACGGCGCGAGCAGGUGCGAAAGCAGGUCAUAGUGAUCCGGUGGUUCUGAAUGGAAGGGCCAUCGCUCAACGGAUAAAAGGUACUCCGGGGAUAACAGGCUGAUACCGCCCAAGAGUUCAUAUCGACGGCGGUGUUUGGCACCUCGAUGUCGGCUCAUCACAUCCUGGGGCUGAAGUAGGUCCCAAGGGUAUGGCUGUUCGCCAUUUAAAGUGGUACGCGAGCUGGGUUUAGAACGUCGUGAGACAGUUCGGUCCCUAUCUGCCGUGGGCGCUGGAGAAUUGAGGGGGGCUGCUCCUAGUACGAGAGGACCGGAGUGGACGCAUCACUGGUGUUCGGGUUGUCAUGCCAAUGGCACUGCCCGGUAGCUAAAUGCGGAAGAGAUAAGUGCUGAAAGCAUCUAAGCACGAAACUUGCCCCGAGAUGAGUUCUCCCUGAGACUUUAAGUCUCCUGAAGGAACGUUGAAGACGACGACGUUGAUAGGUCGGGUGUGUAAGCGCAGCGAUGCGUUGAGCUAACCGAUACUAAUGAACCGUGAGGCUUAACCUU
rnacentral:rRNA from 1 species